rnacentral:lncRNA from 1 species
CAAAAAUUUUCCUUGAAAAUAUGGCAAAAUGGGCAGAAAAUUCGAAAUGUUCGCAGCAAUAAAGCAGUCUUCUAGCGCUUACGGAAAUUCGCCCCAUCGCACAGUAUAAUUUUUGCCAAAAACACGAGUUUUCAAACGGGUAAAUUCUGACGUUUCCUGUCACUCAACUCAAUGCAAACAGUGUUGACAGUCAAGUGCAUCAGCGAAGUUUUGAGGCUUUUUGGAGUGUUUCAACACUCUGGAGCUGUUUAAAAAAUUCUAGCUCAGUAAACCUGGAAAACUAAGAGUA